GACGAACCACACAAACGUUAUUCGGAAUUACUGGGCUUAAAGGGUGCGUAGGCUGUGCGGAAAGUUGGGUGUGAAAUCCCUCGGCUUAACCGAGGAACUGCGUCCGAUACUGAAAGGCUUGAAUCCGGGAGAGGGAUGUGGAAUUCCAGGUGUAGCGGUGAAAUGCGUAGAUAUCUGGAGGAACACCGGUGGCGAAGGCGGCAUCCUGGACCGAGAUUGACGCUGAGGCGCGAAAGCCAGGGGAGCAAACGGG
rnacentral:rRNA from 1 species